rnacentral:rRNA from 1 species
UGGGGAAUAUUGCGCAAUGGGGGAAACCCUGACGCAGCAACGCCGCGUGAAGGAAGAAGGUUUUCGGAUUGUAAACUUCUUUUGUAAGGGACGAAAAAUGACGGUACCUUAAGAAUAAGCUCCGGCUAACUACGUGCCAGCAGCCGCGGUAAUACGUAGGGAGCAAGCGUUAUCCGGAUUUACUGGGUGUAAAGGGUGAGUAGGCGGGACAACAAGUCAGAUGUGAAAACUAUGGGCUCAACCAUAAAAUUGCCGUUGAAACUGGAAGACUUGAGUAUAUUUGAGGUAAGCGGAAUGCGUGGUGUAGCGGUGAAAUGCUUAGAUAUCACGCAGAACUCCAAUUGCGAAGGCAGCUUGCUAAACUAUAACUGACACUGAGGCACGAAAGCGUGGGUAUCAAACA